rnacentral:rRNA from 1 species
GUGCCAGCAGCCGCGGUAAUACAGAGGGUGCAAGCGUUAAUCGGAAUUACUGGGCGUAAAGCGCGCGUAGGUGGUUUGUUAAGUUGGGUGUGAAAGCCCCGGGCUCAACCUGGGAACUGCAUCCAAAACUGGCCAACUAGAGUACAGUAGAGGGUGGUGGAAUUUCCUGUGUAGCGGUGAAAUGCGUAGAUAUAGGAAGGAACACCAGUGGCGAAGGCGACCACCUGGACUGAUACUGACACUGAGGUGCGAAAGCGUGGGGGAGCAAACAGGAUUAGAUACCCUGGUAGUCCACGCCGUAAACGAUGUCAACUAGCCGUUGGGUUCCUUGAGGACUUAGUGGCGCAGCUAACGCAUUAAGUUGACCGCCUGGGGAGUACGGCCCGCAAGGUUAAAACUCAAAUGAAUUGACGG